rnacentral:rRNA from 1 species
AUUGAACGCUGGCGGCAGGCCUAACACAUGCAAGUCGAGCGAGCGGCGGACGGGUGAGUAAUGUAUGGGGACUGCCCGAUAGAGGGGGAUAACUACUGGAAACGGUGGCUAAUACCGCAUACUAUCGGAUAACCCAUAUGGGAUUAGCUAGUAGGUGGGGUAAAGGCUCACCUAGGCGACGAUCUCUAGCUGGUCUGAGAGGAUGAUCAGCCACACGGGGACGGCGACACGGCCCAGACUCCAACGGAGGCAGAAGUGGGGAAUAUGGCGAAAUGGGGGCAAGCCGGAUGCGGCCAUGCCGCGUGUAUGGAGAAGGCCUUCGGGUUGUAAAGUACUUUCAGUCAGGAGGCGUUGCCGACAGAAAAAGCACCGGCUAACUCCGUGCCAGCAGCCGCGGUAAUUC